rnacentral:rRNA from 1 species
GACGAACGCUGGCGGCGUGCUUAACACAUGCAAGUCGAACGGAAAGGCCUCUUUCGGGGGGUACUCGAGUGGCGAACGGGUGAGUAACACGUGAGUAACCUGCCCUUGACUUUGGGAUAACUGCAGGAAACUGGGGCUAAUACCGGAUAGGAGCUCCUGCUGCAGGGUGGGGGGUGGAAAGUUUCGGCGGUUGGGGAUGGACUCGCGGCUUAUCAGCUUGUUGGUGGGGUAGUGGCUUACCAAGGCUUUGACGGGUAGCCGGCCUGGGAGGGUGACCGGCCACCUUGGGCCUGAGAUACGGCCCAGACUCCUACGGGCGGCAGCAGUGGGGAAUGUUGCACCAUGGGUGGAAGCCUGAUGCAGCAACGCCGUGUGCGGGAUGACGGCCUUCGGGUUGUAAACCGCUUUCGCUCAUGACGAAGCUUUGUGUGACGGUAGUGGGUAAAGAAGCACCGGCUAACUACGUG